AUGAAGAGAAUAUGUCUCUGUUUUGAUAAACCGGAGACAAAAAGCGGAGGAAUAGGUUCUGUCGAAAAGAUUGCAGAAUGUACGAACGAUUUCUUCGUCAGUCUUUUCUUGCAAAACUGGAGGAUGACAAAUGCGGAACAAGAAGAAUCCGAUUCGCCAUUGCCACAGGCCUCACUCAGCCAGAGAGGCAUGAUGCAAUGUCGAAUUGGAAUAGACACAUCCACAUCACUGGAGGUUGAAGAAACAAGAACGAUUUUCUGCUCACAUCCAAGACAAUUUCAACAUCACAAACAACGACAAAAAUUCGAGGGCCUCUUUGGUUCACAGAAAUUCAGAACACGUUACACAUUGGAAAUAGGUAAAACAUAG
rnacentral:rRNA from 1 species